rnacentral:rRNA from 1 species
GGAAUAUUGGACAAUGGGCGAAAGCCUGAUCCAGCAAUGCCGCGUGAGUGAUGAAGGCCUUAGGGUUGUAAAGCUCUUUUACCAGGGAGGAUAAUGACAGUACCUGGAGAAUAAGCUCCGGAUAAAUCCGUGCCAGCAGCCGCGGUAAUACGGAGGGAGCUAGCGUUGUUCGUAAAUACUGGGCGUAAAGCGAACGUAGGCGUCAUAGCAAUUCAGGGUUGAAAUCCCGGGGCUCAACCCCGGAACUGCCCUUGAAACUGCUAAGCUAGAAUCCUGGAGAGGCGAGUGGAAUUCCGAGUGUAGAGGUGAAAUUCGUAGAUAUUCGGAAGAACACCAGUGGCGAAGGCGACUCGCUGGACAGGUAUUGACGCUGAGGUUCGAAAGCGUGGGGAGCAAAC